AAAUUAAAGGUAAUAAAUCGUUUCCCUCUAAGUAAUGAUAAUAGUAACGCAUUACUUUCUUAAAAUAAUGUUCUUAAUCUUGUAUUAAACAUAUUAUAUUUCUUUUUACAAGGAAAAAUACAGAAAUGUUGUUUUCUUUUGACGAGCUUUUAAUACGAGGGUGAGUCAAAAAUUAUUCAGACUUUUGUAAUAAAACACUUUGUUGGUUGUCGUACCGCUUUCUGCGAAUCAAUGCUUACAGUUGGUACUACUGUGAUGAUGUGUGCCUCACUUGACCUUGAUCGCAACAGUGUUGAACCAGCAGUGGCAGCGUAAACAUGUCCGCUCCGCUAGUACUUUGCAUCGACAGACGGACGCCCUGCUUCCUGUUCUUGCGUCACAAUUGUCUAGCCACUUUUAAACUUCUCGAUCUAUUCGAAAACACUUGUCCGGGACACUGUCCUCGUACAGUGCUGAAAGUCUACAAUAAAUUUCAGCCCCUUUUACUCCUUCUGACCAAAGAAAUUAUAUCACUGCUUUCUAUUCCUUUUUAGUACAAACUGCUAGCGGAGUCGUCAUGUUUACGCUGCCACUGCCGACUCACCACUGUUGCGAUCAAGGUCGAGUGAGGCACACAUCACCACAGUAGUACCCACUUUUCGACGAUAUUAGCUUCAAAAGAAAAAUACCAAUUUUCUUCAGAAAGAUGUUUUAUCUCCUAAAAGUGAAAAUGGACACAUUUGAAACGA